AUUUCUGGCCUCCCCGCCUUCCUUUGGGCACGUAAGCACGUACGCUCGCACAGAGCUCUCACUGGCUUUAAUAAGAGCUGUAUGUAUUUAUGCAGAAGCUGUGAGACUUAAUAAGAUGUGUUAUAUUUCUUAAUUGCAGCACACCUUGCCAGUGGGUAGUGGUGGAAAAGGAUGGCCUCGAAUAUUAGGAGUAGAGGGUAUGCCAAAUCAGAUCCUGCUGUCCGUUCACCAAGACUGGCACGUACAUACUUUAGGAAGGCAAAUAAAUUCCUUUAGAACAAAGACAGCACCUUCCUGUCAGUGAUCCGUGGUCAACUGACACAUACAAGUCAUAACCAAAGGACUAAUUCUACAUAAGUGUUAAAAUCCCAUUUUGAAAGAAAAACUCAUGUUGAGCUCUACUGAGUUGAAUACCUGUAAAAAAGCUAUCUUAACAGUUGCUAAAAUUCAACUUUUAAUAAUGUUCCACUAGGCAGUUCUUUGUAAGUAUGUACUAUCUUGUUAUAAAAAUAUACCUAUCAUCAACCAUUACGAAAACUUCAAUCUGACCAAGCGCCACGGUCUGUUUCUUACACUUUAUCUGAACUUUGAGUAGGAGAGGUGACUGAUGUAGAUGUUGAGUAAAAUAGAAGUCAUGGAACAUAGUUCCCGCAUGUGGUAAUAUAAACCAGGAAAAUUGCGUAACUUGUUGAUGACUUCUGGAAUUUACAUAGCACUGUACAAACUUUGGAUUGCAGUGUUCAUUCAUCGUCAUUUACAGCUGUGAAAUCAAAUGGACUUAGUCUCUGUCCUUCACUAUUUAUGAGCUUUAUUUUGAGAUAGGGAUGAAUGCUUUGUCUUGGAAGUACGUUUUGCUAACAGACAAAAUAAACUCUGGGACAAAACUGUGUUUGUUUCCCUACAAAUGUGUAAGUGGGACAAUUUGAUAAAAAUAUCCUUCUGAUAGUGAUUUGCAUGAUACUUUGGGAACAAAAGUUUCCUGGGUUGAACGCAGGCAGUGGACUUUUUGUUACACAAUGUACUUUCAGUGGUGUGAUCUGUCACUGCUGCCUGCUAGAUAGCGUAUCCUUAUCAGUCUGUAUUACUCCUGUAAAAAGGCAUCUGGCUGAUGCAAACGUGGGUAAGUCAUACCAAGAGGUUUCUCUGUUACACCUAUUUAUUUAUUAGUUGUUUUUUCCUUCUGAUCCCUUUUCAGUUCUUAUUAGUUCUCAUGUGGAAUGCCACAGCUGAGCCCUAGGUAGCACUCCUGCUUUAAACUACCUCAAACAAAGUAGAUCAGCAAAUAUACUUUGUGCAUACAUAGCAUUGGCACAGCCAGUGAGGUAGUAGGCUGAGAUAACCUAUUCAGGACUUGGCACUGAUCCUUGAAAUUGAAUUCUCAGUGCAGGAGAGCAGCGUUUUGGUGGGUUAGUACAGAAACAGCAUACCCCUGGGGCUGAAAAACACCAGAGAUCCCACGGGGAGAUCUGCAGGCAUGGCUCCAGGUUGAUUCACCAGAAGUAUGAAGAAAGGAUAAGCAGGUGAAGACCUGUACCAUGAAGUGGAAAAAUAAUCCUGCGUGAAUCACCUUUGCCCGCAUAGUUAGCAUCUUUCACAAUUACUUUCACUGAAAUAAAACCAGUUGAAGUCUCAGUUCUAACAAAAACGCAGCUCUCCACUACCAGAAACAGUGCAGCUGAACUAAAAUCAUCAGAGGAGUCAACAAAGCCAUGGUACAAGGGAUGAACCUCAUCCCAGAAAAAUCAUUUUGACCAUAGCGUCUGCUCUGCCAGGAAAAGGAUUUAAAUUGCAAUCCUUGAAAGAACCACUACAUUCACCUGAUUUUCCUGUUCAAACACAGCAAGUGCAGGCUUUUGAAAGCCACGUGGAAUAUCUGGGAACUCGGUGCCCUCUGCUGGUACAUCAGGAAAAAGUGUUCUUAACUACAAACUCAGGCAGGAAAAUAGGGCUGUUCACAAAUAAAGCUAUUGAUGCAACACACAAACCAUCAACCUGUGCCUGUGUAAAUUGUUUCAGAGUGUCUAACAUGUCAAAGUCCAGUGUAAAUUACAUUUGCAGAAUAUGUAAGAUGUCCAUCCAUGAGCUGUAAGUAACCUGCCAUUUCAGGUCACAGUUAUAGCAUAUUUACUGUUAAAAUCUAGAUGGAUUUUACACUAACUGGAAACAGAACAUCAGCAGACAGUCAUCGUGCUGAAUACUGGCUGUGACACCAUUUUGUGGAAAAGAUGGAAACAACCUUCUCUCUCUCUCCAAGAAACACCUUUCUCAUUCUCAAACAGGCAUCACAGUCAUUGUUCUUGGUACGUGAUGUGGAGCAAGAUGGUAGGUGGCAAAUAAAGCUCGAUAGCGUGGUGAAGGUGCUCAGCUGAAUCACAGAAUCAAAGAAUUGUAGGGGUUGGCAGGGACCUCAAGAGAUCAUUGGGUCCGACCCCAAAUGGCUACGUGCAUUACGCUGUUUGCCAGAGGGAUGCCCUGAACCCUGCUCAGCCAGCAGGAGGUUAAACGCUGAGGAGUGCUGUCUGGUGAAGCUCAUUUUAGCUAAACUCUCUACCUUAUGUUGAAAAUUUCAAAUAUUUUAUUUGCCUUGUGCGUUGCUGAAUAAAAACAUGUACAUAUACUCCCAGUUUAACUACACCUCUUUACAUGAAAGUAACUGCUCUCUGCAGCUGUUUUAAAAACCGUAUCAGAACCUUACAGCUAGAUGAUGAGAAUAGAUUAUUGCUCAUUCAUGAGAUAUUUUUGUACUACUCUGCACCUCUGAAAAUGGUUUCGUUCCUAAUUUUGCCGUGCUGGUGACGGUAGUGUA